rnacentral:rRNA from 1 species
GCAGUCGAGGGAGAUUUUCGGAUUCGUCUGAUAGAAACCGGCGCACGGGUGCGUAACACGUAUGCAACCUACCCUUAACUGGGGCAUAGCUCAGAGAAAUCUGAAUUAAUUCCCCAUAACACUGCACUGUGGCAUCACAGAGCAUUUAAAGCUCCGGCGGUUAAGGAUGGGCAUGCGUUGCAUUAGCUAGUUGGUGAGGUAAUGGCUCACCAAGGCAACGAUGCAUAGGGGGUCUGAGAGGAUGAUCCCCCACACUGGUACUGAGAUACGGACCAGACUCCUACGGGAGGCAGCAGUAGGGAAUAUUGGGCAAUGGACGAAAGUCUGACCCAGCCAUGCCGCGUGCAGGAUGACAGCCCUCUGGGUUGUAAACUGCUUUUAUAUGGGAAGAAACCCCUGGAUGCGUCCAGGGCUGACGGUACCAUACGAAUAAGGAUCGGCUAACUUCGUGCCAGCAGCCGCGGUAAGACGAAGGAUCCAAGCGUUGUCCGGAUUUACUGGGUUUAAAGGGUGCGCAGGCGGACCUUUAAGUCAGUGGUGAAAUCCCGCAGCUCAACUGCGGAACUGCCAUUGAAACUGAAGGUCUUGAAUAUGGUUGAGGUAGAUGGAAUAUAACAUGUAGCGGUGAAAUGCUUAGAUAUGUUAUAGAACACCGAUUGCGAAGGCAGUCUGCUAAGCCAUCAUUGACGCUGAGGCACGAAAGCGUGGGGAGCAAACAGGAUUAGAUACCCUGGUAGUCCACGCCCUA